AUUGAACGCUGGCGGCGUGCUUAACACAUGCAAGUCGUGCGGUAACAGGCGUAGCAAUACGUGCUGACGAGCGGCGAACGGGUGCGUAAUACAUGGGAAUCUGCCCUUUAGUGGGGAAUAACCCGGCGAAAGCCGGGCUAAUGCCGCAUAAGAUCUUCGGAUGAAAGCGGGGGAUCGUAAGACCUCGCGCUGAUGGAUGAGCCCAUGUCGGAUUAGCAGUUGGUGAGGUAACGGCUCACCAAGGCGACGAUCCGUAGCUGGUCUGAGAGGACGGCCAGCCACACUGGGACUGAGACACGGCCCAGACUCCUACGGGAGGCAGCAGUGGGAAUAUUGGACAAGUGGGGAAACCCUGAUCCAGCGACGCCGCGUGUGUGAAGAAGGCCUGGCGGGUUGUAAAG
rnacentral:rRNA from 1 species